rnacentral:rRNA from 1 species
UACGUAGGGGGCGAGCGUUGUCCGGAUUCAUUGGGCGUAAAGCGCGUGUAGGCGGUUUGGUAGGUCUCGUGUCAAAUCCUGCGGCUCAACCGCAGUCCGCACGGGAAACCACCUUACUAGAGUCCGGAAGAGGAGAGCGGAAUUCCAGGUGUAGCGGUGAAAUGCGCAGAUAUCUGGAAGAACACCAGUGGCGAAGGCGGCUCUCUGGGACGGUACUGACGCUGAGACGCGAAAGCGUGGGGAGCGAACAGGAUUAGAUACCCUGGUAGUCCACGCCGUAAACGAUGGGCGCUAGGUGUGGGGGGUGUCGACUCCCUCCGUGCCGAAGCUAACGCAUUAAGCGCCCCGCCUGGGGAGUACGGCCGCAAGGCUAAA